rnacentral:lncRNA from 1 species
GUGGGCCGGAAGUGCUCUAGCCAGGGGACUCUGGCCUUAUGGAGGAUCCCUGUUUCCUCCUUUUUUUUUUUUAAACCCUUUUCACCUAAUAAAACCCUGCUUUUCUCACCCUUUAAACUGUCUAUGAGCCUAAAUUUUCAUGGCCGUGGGACAGACAAGAACCCCAUCUUUGCUAAACCAAGGAAAAGUCCUGCAACAUUUUUGGCACGCAGAGUGGGGGCUGGAGAGGAGCUUUCCCGAAAUCAAACUUCAGUUUCAAAAUUGUCUUCCCUGGCACCUGGCUUUUCGAAUACUUCAGAGGGCCCCUGAAAUAUCCAGAAAAGAGAGGCCAUCAAAUUCCAAACAGGCAACCAGAGCCUCUGAAGAUGGCCCCUUCUUCUGGGGAUCCUCACAUAGGCCUCGGAGGAAGCUCUGACUGCCGUUUCCCCAAAACAGCGCCCCCGUCUGCAGAAAGUGGUUAAGAUUGGUCUUAGUCCUUAUCCUUAAUCUAACGGGAGUUAGAUAUACUUCUUUAGACGGGGGAAUGAGACAGCCAGGUGGGAGGGGGUCCCUGGAGAAACUCCAACCAGCCUGUCUACUGAGGUGGAGCCUGGGAAGUUUGAGCCCUUUGCAGUAGGGAGGAGCUGGCCUUGCCUCUUCCUGUGUGGAACCUGGGAUUCGGACGUCGGGCGGGAAGUGCUCUAGCAGGGGACUCUGGACUUGCGGAGGACCCCUGUUCCCCCCCUCAUUUUUCCCUGUUUCACCCAAUAAAACCCUGCUUUACUCACCCUUUAAACCAUCUGCGAACCUAAAUUUUUGUUGUCGCGGGAUGGACAAGAACGCUGUCUUUAGCUAAACUAAGGAAAAGACCUGUAACACCUUA